GCUUUACUAAUAACAUAGAAAGGGCUUUUCUCGCUUGUUUAGUAAAGUCCAGUUUUUGGCCUUAUCUUGCAGGUGACGACGACGUCGAGUUGGCGGCGGAGAAAGACUCGGCAUUCAGGCGAGCCGCCCGGUGGUGUGGUACGUAGUGGGUUUAGUACGCCCCGCCAAAACGGCUCCGAAACAAACAAAAGGGUGCGUGCCGCACUC
rnacentral:misc_RNA from 1 species